GAUGAACGCUGGCGGCGUGCCUAAUACAUGCAACUCGAGCGAACAGACGAGGAGCUUGCUCCUCUGACGUUAGCGGCGGACGGGUGAGUAACACGUGGAUAACCUACCUAUAAGACUGGGAUAACUUCGGGAAACCGGAGCUAAUACCGGAUAAUAUAUUGAACCGCAUGGUUCAAUAGUGAAAGACGGUUUUGCUGUCACUUAUAGAUGGAUCCGCGCCGCAUUAGCUAGUUGGUAAGGUAACGGCUUACCAAGGCGACGAUGCGUAGCCGACCUGAGAGGGUGAUCGGCCACACUGGAACUGAGACACGGUCCAGACUCCUACGGGAGGCAGCAGUAGGGAAUCUUCCGCAAUGGGCGAAAGCCUGACGGAGCAACGCCGCGUGAGUGAUGAAGGUCUUCGGAUCGUAAAACUCUGUUAUUAGGGAAGAACAAAUGUGUAAGUAACUAUGCACGUCUUGACGGUACCUAAUCAGAAAGCCACGGCUAACUACGUG
rnacentral:rRNA from 1 species